rnacentral:pre_miRNA from 1 species
UCUCAUGGAUAAGCAGAGAAAGUUGUUUCUUGAGAUGGAAACUAAUCCUUGUGAAGGUGCUGUGAA